CAGAGCUCGAACCGCCGGCCAGGAGUUGCUCUGGGUCCUUGCGUGUGGCGAUGCCAUCAUCAUCCCUACUUCACAGAUGAAGACACUGACACGGGGAGAUGUUCGGAGACAUCCUCUAAGUCACAUGGCUGGUGAUGGCAGAGCUGGGAUCCGAGCCGUACUAACCAUCGGAUUUUGCUGAUUUGCUAUCAUGGAAAACCCAAUCUUGGCUAAAGGGUGUUGGCAGGGUUAGAAGAAGGGUUAGAAGAAGGGGUCCUGCCCAUGUGGACAGGAGAGGGGAUGCCAGAGGAAAGACAGAUAAAUCCAUGAGCUGGGGCAAAGCCUAGCCGGCCCUCCCUCCAGGAGAGCAGGGUCCGAGCUCAGUGAGUGAAGCCAGCACAAGCCAGGAGAAAGCCGGGAGGCUCUGGGAGGCAGCCCCCUUGCAGAGCUGGCCAGGGAGCUGCAGGGAGCCCUCAGAAGGCCCUGGAGACUGGUUUCCCCUUGCGCUCCUCGCCUAGGUCCUUCCCACCGGCUCCCCCCAUCACUGCUUUCUCUGCUUUCCAGGAGUGAGUGACAAGCGCACCUCCUUGAAGCCUGCCGAGCUGCGAAGCUGCCCUGGGGUGUGGUGGGAGCAGAGGGACCAGGGCACAGAUCUCAGCUCCAUGUUUGCUCUGUGGCUGUGCGGCCAAGGAGCGCCCACCCGCAUGCCCGUGAGCCUCACCGACAGGGUGGCGUGGUGCAGAGAUCCCAGCUACCCACACCCACACCUGGCCCUGCACAGAAAACGCAGCCAUAGCUAUGGACUUGGAGAAACAUACAUUCAUCUUCUAUGCACAGCUGUCCCCCAGCUCUCCAGGCCCACUUACCUGAUGAUGACAGAAAUAACUCCGGCUACCAUCGACUGGGUACUCGCGGUGCAGGGCACCAACUGCUUUCCAUAUGUGAUCUUACUUAAUUUUCACUUGAUAAGGUAGGUACCACUGUGAUUUACAGGAGGGGAAACAGAGGCUCAGAGAGGUUAAGUAUCUUGAUCCAGGUCACACAGCUGGUUAGCGCCAAAGCUAGGAUUAGAAACCAGGUCCUUGUCAGACUCCAGAGCCUCUGGGCUGAAGUGCUGGGCAACCUUGGCUCCCACUUACUUCACUCGCACUCCCCUUCCAUGCAGCUCUG
rnacentral:lncRNA from 1 species